rnacentral:piRNA from 1 species
GCAAUGAACACGGCAGUAGAGGU